rnacentral:lncRNA from 1 species
UAUGACAUUACUGGAAACACAAGGUCUAGAUGGCUUAAAAAAAGAAGGGUAACAGGUCAAGAUAAAGGAUAUAUGCAGGACAGAACCCUUGGGGGUCCCUGAAGAUGAAAAAAUGAAGUCAUUUUUACUUGAGACAAGAGAAAAAUGUUUUCAUCUGAAAUUUUAAAUUCAGCAGAAUACAACGUUGCAGAAUUAUCUAGGCACAGUCUAUAUGAAAAAUACUCUUUUUUUUUUUGGAUUUUUUUCAGAUCUUCUUCAUAUCAACUAUACUUAAAUUUUAAACUGUCUGACAAAUUAAGUCAUCAUAUAGUCAUAGUGAGAUAGAAAAUGGAGAUUGUAAGCAAAUACUUUCAGAAUAACUCAUUCUUUUUUCCUCAGAGGCACUUUUGAGAAUCUCUAUAUAAGUCAGCAAUCAAGUCUAUUUUCUUGCCUAUGUGAAAUUCACAGAAAGUGAAAUUCCCAAACAUAUUACUUUCUGCCCAUCCUUCUCUCCUUUUCUUUAUGUCUCUUUUGCUUACUCUACUCCCUCUAGUCUUUCCCCCUAAACAUUUUACAUCUUCAGGAAAAGCCCCAUGGGAUAUUAGCCAAUUUUUAUUGCUAAAUAUAUUUCCAUUCUUGGUAAUGAAGUACAAUUUUGUAGAAACAAACAUUUACUAUCUCUUUAAUUAUAUGAUGAUUUUGGCCCCAGCUAGUACUUUAUAGAGGAAAUACUGAUUGGCAGAGGAAUAACCUUGCCAUUAUUUCAACAUAAAGUGUUAUUCCCCCACUCAACAUCCACCCUCACAGAAACAUCUAAGUGCUGAUUGAGAAGAUUUUCUGCAUAUUUUCUUUGUUCCUGAGAUCUUCUAUGCAUUGUAAAGUAGAUAACUUUUUUUAAUGUUUGUGUUCCUCUUACCUGUUUAACUCAUAAACCUUGAUUUUAUCUCACCUUUGACCUGCAAGGAAAGAAAUAUUAAAGUUUCUCUUUAUUUGAUAUUAUAAACAUUAUAUUGCCCGUUUGUGAUUGUCUAAUGAUGUUAUAUCACCAUUUGAUUUUCAUUUUUAAUUUAAAGGAACUUAACACUAGAUAAUUUGACAGUUCUGUAUCCUG